CCGCCGACGGCCUUUCUCACCGCGUGCGCUCCUGCCACCGCCCCGCAGAAAUGCUCCAGCUACCCGCGGUCCUUCGCCAGGCCAGGCCAGUGUCCCGGGCGCUGGCCCCGCAGCUCACUCGGGCCUAUGCCAAAGACGUGAAAUUCGGUGCGGACGCCCGCGCCCUCAUGCUUCAGGGUGUAGACCUCCUGGCCGAUGCCGUCGCGGUUACAAUGGGGCCAAAGGGAAGAACAGUGAUUAUUGAACAGAGUUGGGGAAGUCCCAAGGUAACUAAAGAUGGUGUGACUGUUGCAAAGUCAGUUGAUUUAAAGGAUAAAUACAAUAAUAUUGGAGCUAAACUUGUUCAAGAUGUUGCCAACAAUACAAACGAUGAGGCCGGGGAUGGCACCACCACAGCGACAGUCCUAGCACGCUCUAGUGCCAAGGAAGGCUUUGAGAAGACCAGCAAAGGCGCAAACCCCGUGGAAAUCAGGAGAGGUGUGAUGUUAGCUGUUGAUGCUGUGAUUGCUGAACUUAAGAAACAGUCCAAACCUGUGACAACCCCUGAAAAAAUUGCUCAGGUUGCUACAAUUUCUGCAAAUGGAGACAAAGAAAUUGGCAAUAUCGUAUCUGAUGCCAUGAAGAAGGUGGGCCGGAAGGGCGUCAUCACAGUGAAGGAUGGAAAAACCCUGAAUGAUGAAUUGGAAAUUAUUGAAGGCAUGAAGCUUGAUCGAGGAUAUAUUUCUCCAUACUUUAUUAACAUAUCAAAAGGCCAGAAAUGUGAAUUUCAGGAUGCCUAUGUUCUACUGAGCGAGAAGAAAAUCUCUAGCGUCCAGUCCACUGUACCUGCUCCUGAAAUUGCCAAUGCUCACCGGAAGCCCUUGGUCGUAAUUGCUGAGGACAUUGAUGGAGAAGCUCUAUAUACCCUAGUUUUGAACAGGUUAAAGGUUAGCCUUCAGGCUGUGGCUGUCAAAGCUCCAGGGUUUGGUGACAAUAGGAAGAACCAGCUGAAAGACAUGGCUAUUGCAACUGGUGGUGCGGUGUUUGGAGAAGAGGGUUUGACUCUAAAUCUUGAAGAUGCUCAGCCUCACAACUUAGGAAAAGUUGGAGAGGUUAUCAUAACUAAAGAUGAUGCCAUGCUUUUAAAAGGCAAAGGUGACAAUGCACAAAUUGAAAAACGUAUUCAAGAAAUCACUGAGCAGUUAGAAAUUACAACCAGUGAAUAUGAGAAAGAGAUACUGAAUGAGCGGCUGGCGAAGCUUUCGGAUGGAGUGGCUGUGCUGAAGGUUGGUGGGACAAGUGAUGUUGAGGUGCACAAGAAGAAAGACAGGGUCACAGAUGCCUUCAAUGCCACGAGGGCAACUGUGGAGGAAGGCAUUGUGCUGGGUAGUGGGUGUGCCCUGCUCCGUUGCAUUCCUGCCGUGGACACCUUAACUCCUGCUAAUGAAGAUCAAAAAAUUGGCAUAGAAAUUAUUAAGAGAGCACUGAAAAUCCCUGCGAUGACCAUUGCAAAGAAUGCGGUGUAGAAGGAUCUUUGAUAGUUGAGAAAAUCCUGCAGAGCUCCUGUGAAGUUGGUUAUGACGCUAUGCUUGGAGAUUUUCUGAAUGUGGUAGAGAAAGGGAUCAUUGACCCACCAAAAGUAGUAAGAACUGCUCUGCUGGAUGCCACAGGCGUGGCCUCUCUGUUAACAAUGGCAGAAAUUGUGGUCAUAGAAAUCUCUAAGAGGAGAAGGACCCUGCCAUGGGCGCCCUGGGUGGAAUGAGGGGCGGAAUGGGCAGCGGGAUGUUCUAG